GCGAGACUGAGGAUCGUCGUCGGGAUCAGCAGGGGUGUCAUGAGGAUCAGAUUGAUCGCUCCCUUGCCAGGGAA
rnacentral:sRNA from 1 species